GAACCGUUGCAAGACGUUUGAACGGUCUCCGCGCUCGCUCGUCCAUUUGUGAACAAAGGAGGCCGUGAUUUUGCGUCGUAUGGGCGGCUGCAGUGUUGCGUCCCGUCAGGCCAUGAAAGAAGGAAGGAGGAUAUGAUUUUGCGUCGUAAU